CCUACGGGCGGCAGCAGUGGGGAAUAUUGGGCAAUGGGCGCAAGCCUGACCCAGCAACGCCGCGUGAAGGAAGAAGGCUUUCGGGUUGUAAACUUCUUUUCUCAGGGACGAAGCAAGUGACGGUACCGGAGGAAUAAGCCACGGCUAACUACGUGCCAGCAGCCGCGGUAAUACGUAGGUGGCAAGCGUUAUCCGGAUUUACUGGGUGUAAAGGGCGGGUAGGCGGGACUGCAAGUCAGAUGUGAAAACCACGGGCUCAACCUUUGGCCUGCAUUUGAAACUGUAGUUCUUGAGUACUGGAGAGCCAGCCGGAAUUCCUAGUUUAGCGGUGAAAUGCUUAGAUCUUAGGAGGAACACCAGUGGCGACGGCGGUCUGCUGGACAGCAACUGACGCUGAGGCGCGAAAGCGUGGGGAGCAAACAGGAUUAGAUACCCCGGUAGUC
rnacentral:rRNA from 1 species